GCCGCCGUAGCCCAACUGGCAGAGGCGUCCCGCUCAGAACGGGAAGGUUGGAGGUUCGAAUCCUCCCGACGGCA
rnacentral:tRNA from 1 species